rnacentral:rRNA from 1 species
UACGUAGGGGGCGAGCGUUGUCCGAAGUUACUGGGCGUAAAGCGCGCGUAGGCGGCUUUGUAAGUCAGAGGUGAAAGCCUGGAGCUCAACUCCAGAACUGCCUUUGAAACUACAUCGCUAGAAUCAUGGAGAGGUUAGUGGAAUUCCGAGUGUAGAGGUGAAAUUCGUAGAUAUUCGGAAGAACACCAGUGGCGAAGGCGACUAACUGGACAUGUAUUGACGCUGAGGUGCGAAAGCGUGGGGAGCAAACAGG